rnacentral:misc_RNA from 1 species
GAUGAAGAACGUAGCGAAAUGCGAUAAGUAAUGUGAAUUGCAGAGUUCAGUGAGUCAUCGAAUCUUUGAACGCACAUUGCGCCCUGUGGUAUUCCGCAGGGCAUGCCUGUUCGAGCGUCAUUUCAACCCUCAAGCUCUGCUUGGUGUUGGGCCCUGCCCGCUGCGGCCGGCCCUAAAGACAGUGGCGGUGCCGCCUGGCCCUGAGCGUAGUACAUCUCUCGCUCCAGUGCCCGGUGGUAGCCUGCCAGAACCCCAACUCUCGUGGUUGACCUCGGAUCAGGUAGGGAUACCCGCUGAACUUAAGCAUAUCAAUAAGCGGAGGA